AAGUAAAACAGACACAGUAAGACUCGAAACUCUAGUGGAGCAGGAAGAUUUUAGAAAUGUUUUGCUCAUCGUCCAGAUCUAUUCUUAGCUAAGGGAUAAGAUGAACACCUCAAAGGUUAUGACAUGAUCCAAAAAAUCCUCCCUGAUUUUGCCAGCUCUCAGCCUGAAUCACUCUCUGAGUCAGGGAAGGAUAUAGCCUCAGCUCCAUUCCUUAAGCAAUACAGGUACCUGAAUCAGAGACUAUUUUGAAAAGAUAAAACUGAUCUACAUCUGGCAAUUCAAGGGCGAGCCAAUUCCUUCACGGGCAAUCCACCACAGGUGAGUGUUCUUCUAUUCAAAGAUAUCCUGGAAAUAGGUCUGAAAAUGCAGAAGAGGUAACAUGGUGCAGCAGAAAUGGUGAUAGAGACUCCCAAGCCAUUGCUUACUUGCUCUGAAACCUUGAAAAUUACUUAAGUCUUCUGAACAUAAAAGUUCUUGUUUAUAGCCAGGCAGUAAUGGCUCAUUCCUUUAAUUUUAACUUCUCAGAAGGCUGAGAUCUGUGGAUCACAGUUUAAAGGCAGCCUGGGCAAGC